GAUGAACGCUGGCGGCGUGCCUAAUACAUGCAAGUCGAGCGAACGGACGAGACGCUUGCUUCUCUGAUGUUAGCGGCGGACGGGUGUGUAACACGUGGAUAACCUACCUAUCAGACUGGGAUCACUUCGGGACACCGGAGCUAAUACCGUAUGAUAUUUUGAACCGCAUGGUUCAAAAGUGAAAGACGGUCUUGCUGUCUCUUAUAGAUGGUUCCGCGCUGCAUUAGCUAGUUGGUAAGGUAACGGCUUACCAAGGCAACGAUGCAUAGCCGACCUGAGAGGGUGAUCGGCCACACUGGAACUGAGACACGGUCCAGACUCCUACGGGAGGCAGCAGUAGGGAAUCUUCCGCAAUGGGCGAAAGCCUGACGGAGCAACGCCGCGUGAGUGAUGAAGGUCUUCGGAUCGUAAAACUCUGUUAUUAGGGAAGAACAUAUGUGUAAGUAACUGUGCACAUCUUGACGGUACCUAAUCAGAAAGCCACGGCUAACUACGUG
rnacentral:rRNA from 1 species